rnacentral:rRNA from 1 species
GAUGAACGCUGGCGGCGUGCUUAACACAUGCAAGUCGAGCGAAGCACUUAAGUCUGAUUCUUCGGAUGAAGACUUUUGUGACUGAGCGGCGGACGGGUGAGUAACGCGUGGGUAACCUGCCUCAUACAGGGGGAUAACAGUUAGAAAUGACUGCUAAUACCGCAUAAGACCACGGUACCGCAUGGUACAGUGGUAAAAACUCCGGUGGUAUGAGAUGGACCCGCGUCUGAUUAGGUAGUUGGUGGGGUAACGGCCUACCAAGCCGACGAUCAGUAGCCGACCUGAGAGGGUGACCGGCCACAUUGGGACUGAGACACGGCCCAGACUCCUACGGGAGGCAGCAGUGGGGAAUAUUGCACAAUGGAGGAAACUCUGAUGCAGCGACGCCGCGUGAAGGAUGAAGUAUUUCGGUAUGUAAA